rnacentral:lncRNA from 1 species
CUUUGUGGAGUCUUUCCUGUGAGCCUAGAUCUUCAGAGAUGGAGCUUCUUUCUAAGGAACUAGAGGAGACGUGAAGAAUUUAAGUGUUUGCAACUGAAAAAGCUUCAGGAUGAAAUACUGGUGGUGAACAUCAAGAAAAACACACAUAGAAAAUCAGAACCCUCACAGAUAACCUAUAGGGUAAUAAAUGCAUAACAGAGACACUGUAGUGGCUGGGUACUGAUUUUUCAUUCCUUUUUCUAUUUUUCUGUGUUAAUAUAGUGGAACAGAAUCUGUCCUUUUAAAGAAGUCUUUUGUGGCUUAUCUUCUACUUUAAAAAAAUAAAAAAUAAAAAAAAUCCAAACAUAUUGUUUGGGAACUAUGCAUGUUUCAGCUUUCAAAAUACAAUGUUUGCAGCACUGGAAUCGGUAGUAAAUGUCUUAUUAGCUUUUAAAGGACCAUAACUCUGGUUUCAUUGACUUUGUGGUGUUUGUCAGGUUGUAGGCUUCAUUGCCUUUUCUUGCAGAAAACAUGAAAUGGAUCAAACACGUCAUUUGAUCAAGGUUAAAAUGUUAUGCAGCUUUUUUGUAUAUAAAAUAAAUAUGCAUUGACUUCUGAUUUUUUCCACACAUAGACCAUAACAUCACUCCAUAGAAUAUUUACAAAAUACUCCUUGCUCAAUAUUGUAACAAUUACAGAAAUUGUAUUGUAACUAUAGUAGGGAAAAACUCAACUGGAUCAUAAAUUGAGUGACUUUGUUUACUUGAGCAGUCCCUGAGCAAAUUGUAGUCCAUGAAGGAAAAAAAAAAUCCAUAAUUUCAAGCCAUUUUGCACAAAUCUCAACCCUAGGAGAGGAAGAUUAAGGUACGGAAAGAUUCCCUACCUUGAUACUAGAGAAGACUCACUUGUUUUCCCUUUGCUUACCAUCAUUAGCUUGGAACUGCGGGCUGUAUUAUUGAGUUAUUCUGUAUCUCUCAUAGAUUAUAUUAAAUCUCCAUGCUGCAAAGCAUUGUACAAACUGGAUUUUGUGUUGCACAGAUAGGUCUUAUUAUUGUACUUACCAAGUUUGUAUGGCUGGACCACAUAUGCAAUGCUUAGAGAAACAAAUAUAAACCUGACCCUUAAUCUUUAGUAUGUGGUGUAGGUCCAUUCCCUAUGGUCUUGUGAACAGGCCUGAUGAGCUGAGGCGUUCUGAUCUUUGAUAAUAGGACUUUUUCUAAAAUAAAUAUGCAGUAUUCAUCUAUAUUCUAAUGAUGGUUUCUUCUCAAGCAGAUCUAUACUUUUUAAUCAAACUGGGGAGUAUCUUUUAUAGUAAGAGAAACAGGGUCUUUCAGAUGUUGUGUAUUCUACAAACACCUAUUUCCAAGUAUGUAGAAACAAAUCUACCUAUAUUCUAACAAAAAGGGGGAACAUUGACUUGUAUACUACUAAAUUACUUCUGAACCUCCCAGAUUUUGCUGCUUUUAGAAUGUAUGCAUAUCCUCAUUUUCAGUUUUUUCUUAAAAGUGACUGAAUAUUGAAUGUCUUAAGCUUUUGAAAUUGUUAAAUUUCUUGUCCUAUGACCCUGUAAUUGCAGUUUUGGGAAGACAGGAGCAAAAGCUAAAUGCUUUAUUUGAUUUUGCUUCUUCUGUAAGCAUUAGAAAACAAAUGUUAGUCAAAUGUCUUAAUACACAGUAGAAGAGACGAUGUAAUGUGGGUUCUGAGACCACUGUGAUGAGGUCAGUGUAAAAUGAGCCAAAUAACAGGAAAGCGUGUUGUCAGUAACUGCAAAUGAAAAAGUUUAUAUCUUGUAUUGAGCAGUUCACG